rnacentral:rRNA from 1 species
GACGUAGGGUGCGAGCGUUGUCCGGAUUUAUUGGGCGUAAAGAGCUCGUAGGCGGUUCGUUGCGUCAGCUGUGAAAACCCGCAGCUUAACUGUGGGCUUGCAGCUGAUACGGGCGGACUAGAGUUCGGUAGGGGAGACUGGAAUUCCUGGUGUAGCGGUGAAAUGCGCAGAUAUCGGGAGGAACACCUAUGGCGAAGGCAGCUCGCUGGGACGUUACUGACGCUGAGACGCGAAAGCGUGGGGAGCAAACAGG